GAUGCAAUUUUUCUUACAAAAUCAUGUGAAAGUUUUAUCUUUAUGCAUAUAUAACAUUUGAGGAACAUAAGACUUUAUUCUUAUUAGCUUUGGUGUUGAAUUUUUGCGUAAAACUCAGAUUAGUUGAGCUCUACUCUCUCCAUUUCAAUUAGUUUUUCUGGUUUUGACUUGACGGGAAGUUUAAGAAAGUAAAUUUUGUAUAAUUAAGUGGGCUGUUGUAAAGGUCUCUUGAGUGUUUCUUCACUAGUGUGUUAAUAGACCACCAUAAAUUUUUAUUUAAAAAAACUACACAACUUAGAAAGUAUAGACUUCUUUUUUAUCGAUUAAAUAUAAUGCGUAACCUUUCUUCUCUUUCCCCUUCUCAACAGUCUCUUUCCUUUCUCCCAAUCUGUAAGCAUAGAUGACUAUCAAAAUAGGCUAAAUUUUUAGUUUCUUUCAAUUUAUUUCUUCUCUAAUACUUGAUGAAGCAAAUAUUGACUGUUAUUUGUUUGUAUAGGCUAUUACAAUAAGUCGAGAUCUAACUUCAAGUGAGUUACAUUUGCACGUUAUACACAUAAUCAUGAUGGUAAAUCUUUUGUUGCUGAGCAUUUCCAACUUCUCGACGAAAAGCAUAAAGAAAUUGUAUGAAAAAAAAAGACUAACUGAAUCUGAAAUUGAUCAAUUGGAAUCAUGUUAUGAAGCUGCGAGAGGAGUAAAGAAGAAAACAGUCUGUAGUAACACGUACCAAUUUCAAUGGAUGUGGAUUUGACAUUAGUUUAUUUUUGACAAAAUACUUGAACUUGUGGAUGUUUGGACUCAAUUAUGUGAUGCAUUUUGCUAUCUAUAUAUUUUGAACAUUCUAAUAUAAGUAAUUAUUUAUAUGAAUGUUGGUUAUUUUAAUCAU